rnacentral:rRNA from 1 species
CGGCGGACGGGUGAGUAACACGUGGGUAACCUACCUAUAAGACUGGGACAACUUCGGGAAACCGGAGCUAAUACCGGAUAAUAUGUUGAACCGCAUGGUUCAAUAGUGAAAGAUGGUUUUGCUAUCACUUAUAGAUGGACCCGCGCCGUAUUAGCUAGUUGGUGAGGUAACGGCUUACCAAGGCAACGAUACGUAGCCGACCUGAGAGGGUGAUCGGCCACACUGGAACUGAGACACGGUCCAGACUCCUACGGGAGGCAGCAGCU